UCGAUUGUCUAUGGGCCAUGGCGUAAGACC
rnacentral:piRNA from 1 species